CAGGUGCGAAAGCGUGGGGAGCAACAGGAUUAGAUACCUGGUAGUCACGCUGUAACCGAUGUCGAUUUGGAGGUGUUCCCUUGAGGAGUGGCUUCCGGAGCUAACGCGUUAAUCGACCGCCUGGGGAGUACGGCCGCAAGGUUAAACUCAAAUGAAUUGACGGGGGCCCGCACAAGCGGUGGAGCAUGUGGUUUAAUUCGAUGCAACGCGAAGAACCUUACCUACUCUUGACAUCCAGAGAAUUUAGCAGAGAUGCUUUAGUGCCUUCGGGAACUCUGAGACAGGUGCUGCAUGGCUGUCGUCAGCUCGUGUUGUGAAAUGUUGGGUUAAGUCCCGCAACGAGCGCAACCCUUAUCCUUUGUUGCCAGCACAUUAUGGUGGGAACUCAAAGGAGACUGCCGGUGAUAAACCGGAGGAAGGUGGGGAUGACGUCAAGUCAUCAUGGCCCUUACGAGUAGGGCUACACACGUGCUACAAUGGCGUAUACAAAGAGAAGCGACCUCGCGAGAGCAAGCGGAACUCAUAAAGUACGUCGUAGUCCGGAUUGGAGUCUGCAACUCGACUCCAUGAAGUCGGAAUCGCUAGUAAUCGUAGAUCAGAAUGCUACGGUGAAUACGUUCCCGGGCCUUGUACACACCGCCCGUCACACCAUGGGAGUGGGUUGCAAAAGAAGUAGGUAGCUUAACCUUCGGGAGGGCGCUUACCACUUUGUGAUUCAUGACUGGGGUGAAGUCGUAACAAGGUAACCA
rnacentral:rRNA from 1 species